UGGAAGAUACGACAUUCUUGACCAACCUUUCUAUAUUUACUAUCUCUGAAGGUCCAGACAUAUUUUAGGACCAGAAAUUUUUUUAAAUUUUUCAAAACAAUCAAAACUUACUAAUCCAACUUCCAUAUUUCCCAAGUGAUCUUAAUGCAAGUUGGUGGGAAUCACAGUUGCUUCUCCUCAUAUAGCGGGUGGCCUAAGCAUCUCAAAUAUUCCAGAAUUUACUGGCACCAUCCUAGUUCUAGGCAGUCGCUGUAUCGGUGUGAUGCAGCAGGUCGUAUUAAUAUGCAACAGAGAAAUUUAGUGACAGGUCGGACAAAUCUUGCUCGAGGGCCGCAUGUGGCCUGCAGGCCAGGGGUUGCCCACCCCUAAUUUAGAGGUUCAUCAUUGAUUUCUCUGACAGUGGAUAGUGUGGUAUCUCAUUUAGUUCAAAUAGAAUUAAAAGAAUAAAUUUGAAAUUCCUGUGAUUGUUUAACUUGUUGACUGGAUAGAUCAUGC
rnacentral:lncRNA from 1 species